GCUGGUGUAGCUCAGUGGUAGAGCAACGCACUUGUAAUGCGUGGGUCGCAAGUUCAACUCUUGUCACCAGCU
rnacentral:tRNA from 1 species